rnacentral:rRNA from 1 species
AUAUUUAAUGAUAAUGUUUUGUUGGGGUGACAUAAAGAAUUAAUAAACUCUUUAUUAUAAAAUCAUUAAUUUGUGUUUGUUUUGAUCCAUAAUUUAUGAUCAUAAGAUGAAGUUACCUUAGGGAUAACAGCGUAAUUGUUUUUGAGAGCUCAUAUUGACAAAGCAGAGUGCGACCUCGAUGUUGGAUUAAGAAAAAUUUUGAGUGCAGUAGCUCAAU